AUUUUACUCCCUCCGUUCCGAAUUACUUGUCACAUGUAUGGAUGUAUCUAGAUGUAUUUUAGUUGUAGAUACAUCCGUUUCUGCGAUGAGUAAUUUGAAACGGAGAAAGUAGUAG
rnacentral:pre_miRNA from 1 species